UCUUGCAUUACUUCUUGAAACGUGAUCGCGACAAGUGCUAGAAGAUAUACAUCGUAAUAAUACUUCACGCUUGUUAGAACAAACAGGGAGAGGACGAGAGGGAACGAUCGAGAGAGAGAGACAGAGAGAGAGAAAGAGAAAGAUGAUAAAUAAGGAUGACGAUACAACUAUGUCGUGUCGUUAGAUGUCAACAAUGGCAACGACGACGAUGAUACUGGACGUUGGCGACAACGACGACGAUAUAGGACGACGACGACGACGAC